ensembl:lncRNA
GUGAGUUCCUCUUUUCCAUCCCACACAGUCUCUGUCCUGGGCAGACUGCGGACUGAUGGCAGAGCCCUCCCACCUUCAACGGCCUGGGCCCCAACCCCGACCGUCAGCACCCCACACCUCACCAAAUCCUCUGUGAGGGUUGUUCCCGGACAUACUCAGGGAGGGGGGGGACCUUGGGCACCAGAGGAGGGUCUCUGGACUAGGCAUGUUCGUUGACACUGCGUUCCCCAGGGAUGGAGAGCCGGCCACCCUUCCCACUUCUCUGCAGCCCAGGGGGCAGGGAGGCAUGUGGGGAAGCAGGGUCCCGUCUUCCCAUCCGCCCUCCACACUGGGCUGAAGAGUGCUCCUGGGGAGCACAUUAUUUAGCACCUACUGUGUGUCAAGACUACAGCACUUACACAAGCACAGCUUCCAGUAACCUUCACGUCAACUUUGCAAGAUUGGUGUUGAGGUGACACUACCCCGUGUUACACAUGAGGAAGUCUGCUAGAGUUUAAGAUCACUGGGUGCGUCAGAGGGGAAUGAGGCUGGCCCAGCUGAGCUAUCUGAGGCUGCUGCCUAGAAUGAAAAGCAGAAGGGUGGGGAAGUGGGGCUCCCUCCCCUAGAACCUCUCCUCUGCUGUGCUGUGCUGCGCUGGACGGACAGGGGUCGGCGUGCUUGGGCAUCAUGGGUCUCUUUGAAGGUUUGUCACAAGUUCAUAAUGAACCCCCUGCAAUAAUUGGGGCCAACUGAGGCCCAAGUGACCCAGUGACUUGUCCUCACUUUGCUGGGUGGCGCAUGCCAUCAGCCUGUCACCGUCUCCUAGAAACUACUGCAACAGUCUUCUCACUGCUCUCGCUACCUGCAGACUGGCUCCCUCCCACACGUGCACAGGCGCUGUCAGAGCCAUGGGCCUGAAACGCGCUUCACCACCUCACGCCCCGGCUCAAACCCUUUCACGACCCCUAUUGGCCUUUAAGGUCCCUUUGAAGCUUCAUCACUAGUUCAUAAUGAGAGUAUGGACUUAAAAAAAGUUUCAUACUAACAGGGCAAUGCCAGUAUAGUAGCUGCUCAGUAAAUGUGCUGAAUGAAUGAACCAGCGUGGAACAGGGGCUGUGGGGUCUGCAAUCUGGCAAAUCGCAUUCACUUCCGUCGUUGGUCCACGUGAGUCAGGUGAAAUUGCCUGCCUGGCAAUGUGAAACCAUUGGUCCCACUAAGCCUGAAGCUUUUACAAACCCAAGCUGAUGCUGGGGCUCUCGUCUGAGGGUCUUGAGGCUGAAGGAAGCGAGAGCCUGACAAUAUCCUUGUUGCGACACUGUUAACAUGCAGCAAUCCCGCCAGAGAACUACACGCAAACCCAGAUUAAACGAAAAUAAUUCUGUCCUUCUCAUCACCUGUUUGGGGGAUAAAGGGCCCAUUCCUGGAGGAUGACGUCUGACAGAACCAGUUUAGAAGCAGCAUUGAACUUAGGGAACUGUUGCACAGCAGGCGGCCAGGACACACGCGCCCUCGCUCCUUCCUCUUUCUCCACUCCAUCUUGGUGAUCGCGGCAGUGGUGGCCGCGGUUUAGUCACCGACAGGCAGCUCUUUGCACCCAGAAGCUACCCACCCUCAGGUGACCAGCCAGGAGACAGUCGCCCAGAUCAAGGCUCCCGUAGCCUCGUUGGUGGGCCUCGCUCCAGAAGAUGAGGUCGUGCUCCUGCAGGCUGGCCCCCAGAGGAUGAGGCUACCCUGGGCCAGCGGCUGACCACUCUGGAAGUAGCCGGCUGCAUGCUUGGAGGUGAAGUCACUGGUUCCCUGGCCUGUGCUGGGCAAGUAAGAGGUCAGACUCCGGACGUGGCCAAACAGGAGACAAAGAAGAAGACAGGCGGGGCCACGCGGCGGAUGUGGUACAACCAGCGCUUUGUCAGUGUUGUGCCCGCCUUUGGCAAGAAGACAGGCCCCAAUGCCAACUCUUAAGUCCUUUGUAAUCCUGGCUUUCUCUAAUAAAGCCACUUAACCCAGUCACAAAAAAAAGAAGAAAGGGAACUGUCCUUUGAUUUUUACUCCUGCCUUAAAGGAUGCAAUAGGCAGUGGUUUUGCCUAAUGACAUUAUGGCCAAGUUUUAGCAAAGAGUAAAUACAUAUGCA